AACUAUGAAGGUACAAAAAAUGGUGUAUGCAGACAAUAAGCUGUUUCAGCAAUCUGAAAUGUGAGUCUGUUGGGCUUGGUCUCUUACAGUUUUCAAUUUCCCUUUGUUGGUAUGGUUGGUAGGAUUGAGUCCAUGAUAUUUUGACCCUUGAAUAGAUGCCAAUGCAAACCUUCGUGGGUAUUAUAGCUUUGAACCCAUGACCUCAAUGUUGGUAGUCCAAACAGUAGGAGCACAAUGCUUGACCCAAUUACCUUCAAUAUAUUACAGCAACUACAUUUGGACGCUUCCAUUAUUUUCUUAUUGGGCUCAUGUAUCUGUGAAGUGAAUUGGCAGGCCGCUCUUGAGGAUGCCCAUGUUCUGGUUGGUGAUGACAUCAAGUAGGUUCUUAGGCCUUGCCAUCAGCUUCACUUCAAUGUGGUUUCUUCAUCAGACGGGUGCUACUACAUACAGGUUGGCUCUGUCAGAAUUUCUGCCAGUGAUGAGUUGUGGGUGGCCUGCUACAUCCUUUAGGUAGAAUGAGAGGUCUCCUAUGAUGGUUUUACUUUCAAUGGUCUUUAUUUGUUCGUCCUUUUUAUAUGAUUAUUUUCUAUAUAGACUAUAUAUAUGUUCCUUUCUGAGGAAGUUACUGUUAUUUUCGUUGUUAACAGAUAACUCAUUGAAGCGCCAAGACGUUUGGAUUUUGUGGUCAAUCCAUGGUUUCAUGGCCAUAUAAAAUGAGAAUGAAUCCCUUCAAAUGGAGUUCAAAAUAGCAACAUAUUAAGGGGAAAGGAAGUGCGUUUUGUGCUAGUGGUGAUGUUCUAAAUAUGACUCAUUUUGUAAUCACCAGUAGAUGUCUCUUUUCUAGCCCAUGACAAAUCCUUUAAUGAUAAGAUAUAAUACAUUGCAAUAGAUUUUUUUUUUUGUGAUAUUAAGUCAAUGUACCGAACGUUUUAUGAAACUCAGUUUUGGUUCUUUGUUUGAUGAUUUUUACUCAAUUGCUAUGGACUACUUUCAUUUUUUGGAGAAUUGAGCAUUGUUAA